GACGAACGCCGGCGGCGUGCUUAACACAUGCAAGUCGAACGGAAAGGCCUGCUUUCCCUUGUGGAUUGCGGGUACUCGAGUGGCGAACGGGUGAGUAACACGUGAGUGAUCUGCCCCCAACUUGGGUAUAAGCCUGGGAAACUGGGUCUAAUUCCCGAUAGGACUGCAGGGUGGUGCCUGUGGUGGAAAACGAUUUUCUAGUGGUUGGGGAUGAGCUCGCGGCCUAUCAGCUUGUUGGUGGGGUAAUGGCCUACCAAGGCGGCGACGGGUAGCCGGCCUGAGAUGGUGGACGGCCACAUUGGGACUGAGAUACGGCCCAGACUCCUACGGGAGGCAGCAGUGGGGAAUAUUGCACAAUGGGCGGAAGCCUGAUGCAGCGACGCCGCGUGGGGGAUGACGGCCUUCGGGUUGUAAACUCCUUUCGACCGCGAGGAAGCCACCUGGUUGGAAGGGUGGUGACGGUAGUGGUAGAAGAAGCACCGGCUAACUACGUG
rnacentral:rRNA from 1 species